rnacentral:rRNA from 1 species
GACGAACCGUGCGAACGUUGUUCGGAAUCACUGGGCUUAAAGGGCGCGUAGGCGGGCAAGCAAGUCCGGGGUGAAAGCCCCCAGCUCAACUGGGGAAGUGCCUUGGAAACUGCUGGUCUCGAGGGAGGUAGGGGCCUGUGGAACUUCGGGUGGAGCGGUGAAAUGCGUUGAUAUCUACAGGAACUCCGGUGGCGAAAGCGGCGCGCUGGACCUCUUCUGACGCUGAGGCGCGAAAGCUAGGGGAGCAAACGGG